rnacentral:misc_RNA from 1 species
AACGCACCUUGCGCUCCUUGGUAUUCUGAGGAGCAUGCCUGUUUGAGUGUCAUGAAAUUCUCAACUGCUUCAGCUUUUACGGUUGAAGUGAAGUUGGAUUUGGAGGAAUAUUUGCUGGCGUGACCUUUUAUAGGUUGCUUGUCAGCUCCUCUUAAAUGGAUGAACUUUCCAGUAGUAAAGUAACACCAAUGUGAUAAUUAUCUACGUUGGAUAAGCUUGAACAAGGAAAGAUGAAAUCUGUCUUGGAGGGAAAACCCCCUUGACGAAACAAAUGACAAAUUUGACCUCAAAUCAGGUAGGAUUACCCGCUGAACUUAA